UCACCACGUUGAAGAGUAUUGGCGACAGA
rnacentral:sRNA from 1 species